AUUGAACGCUGGCGGCAGGCCUAACACAUGCAAGUCGAGGGGUAGAACACUUCGGUGUUUGAGACCGGCGCACGGGUGCGUAACGCGUAUGCAAUCUACCUUGUACAGGGGAAUAGCCCAGAGAAAUUUGGAUUAAUGCCCCAUAGUAUAUAACCUUCGCAUGUUGGUUAUAUUAAAGUUCCAACGGUACAAGAUGAGCAUGCGUACCAUUAGUUAGUUGGUAAGGUAACGGCUUACCAAGAAGAUGCUGGGUAGGGGUCCUGAGAGGGAGAUCCCCCACACUGGUGCUGAGACCCGGACCGGACUCCUACGGGAGGCAGCAGUGAGGAAUAUUGGUCAAUGGGCGCAAGCCUGAACCAGCCAUGCCGCGUGCAGGAAGACGGUCCUAUGGAUUGUAAACUGCUUUUAUACAGGAAGAAACCCUCCCACGUGUGGGAGAUUGACGGUACUGUAGGAAUAAGGAUCGGCUAACUCCGUGCCAGCAGCCGCCGUAACAC
rnacentral:rRNA from 1 species